rnacentral:lncRNA from 1 species
CCGUGCGCCUUCAUGAGGACUUUUAUCCUGAAAUACGAGCGCGCGUGACCGGAAGUGGCGCUUCAGCUGAUCAGAUUAACUGUAAACGGCUCCUUCAGCAUUUCGCUGUUAAAAUUGUGUUUAGUUAAUUAAUCGGUCAGGUCAGCACAGCCAGUCGCUCAUUACAGGUGUCAGGAUGGUGUGUGAGCUGCUGCUGUCCUCGCUCUGGUUCCUGUUCCUCAUCUUCUGGCUGGAGAGCAUCAGUGUUUGGCUCUUUCUGUGUCUGUACUAUCAGGACGGGGUUUUCUAUCACUGGGCUUCAGGUGAGCUUGCAGGUGAUCCGGAUCAGCUCCUCUAUGUGUUGAGCAGGUCAGCUUUAUUUCUGCUUUGGUGUCUCGAGUUGAAAACGGCUGCUAUCUCUCCUUCGUCUCGUCACACAAACAAACACUGCUAAAUCUCGUGUUCAUCUUCUCCCUCAGAAUCGAUCUGUCUGCGCACAUGCAGACACGAGGAGGUGAUGUCAUCACGCCAGGGUCAGAGGUCAGCGGGUCGUCGUGACCUCCAGAGACUGCAGACCGACAGAGCGGCGAGAUUCAGCGCACAAGCAGCAGGAACUCACAUGAAACCUCUUUAGAACUGUUACCUGCGUGAACACGGACGGCAUUUAACCAGUCCAUGUUUAUAAACUAGCUGGAAUUUCAUUCGAGAAAGUAUUAACAGCUCCAGAUUAACUUUGACCGAAUUAUCGUGUGUUCUAUUUUUAUACCAAUUUCUCUCUUUUUUUCACCUAAUAAUAAAAAUAAAGCAGCUUUAAACAGUUUCUCUGAGGUUUCGUUUCUACACUAAACAGAAACCAGAAAAAUCUGCUUCGAUGGAAAUAAAAAUAACGCUUUAUAUUUCAUACAACCUGAAGAACCUUCACAAACAACCACCGAUCAAUCAAACCCUUCUAUUUUCACAUUAUAUCAGUGCUGCUACUGUGUAUAUUAGUUGUCUAUAUAAACACACACACACAUACAUAAAUAUAUUUAUAUAUGAAUAUAAAUAAUACAUACUGUAUGUGUGUGCAUUUAUAUAAACAGAAUAAAUAUACACAGCACACACCAAUUAUGUAAACAAACUUUUAUAUUGGAUGUGAUUAAUUUUUGAUCAAGCAUUAUAGUAAGGUUACUUGUGUUCACAUUAGUUAAUGCAUAACAAAACAACAUUUUUACAGCAUUUGGAAAUCUGGUUUGUUGCUAAAUCACGUGUGUUCAUCUAUUUGUUUACCAUUUUCUUCUCUACUUCAUGAAAGCAAGGUACUGUGUUACACAGCUAAAAUAAACACCUCUGUUCAUGUAACUGCACUACAUGAAUAAACACUGAUGUACAUCAUUAUAGAAGAUUAUAAAUACAUGAAUAUAUAUAUAAAGAGUGUGUAAUUUGUCUGUGUGCGUGUGAGUUUGAUUCAGGCGCUGAUCGGGGCAGCCGCGGCGGUGGGGUCCUUCAGCAGAAGUCGCACACUGUCGAUAAACUGAUUUAAACUGUUAAUGUGUGUGUUUCGCCGUUGUUUAUCGAUUAUUU